AGUGUGUGUGGGCAAGGUGAGCCUGUUUAUAUAUGUUUUGCUGGGGGAAGGAGACUGCCUACAGUUUGCACCAGAGGCAGGAAUGUUUCAGGAGAACUCUAUGCACACUGCCCAUCUUGUGUUUCCCAAAGAAAUGGGAGAUGAAGAGGACACGGGGCUGAAACUCCUCCUCUGAUGAAGAGCAGCAAUUGGCGAUUUUCCUGAUUUAAAGCUAAACAAAUGGGCUCUUUACACUGAAAUCUUCCUUCAAACAGUGGUGAAGAAAGAGCUCUGAAGUUAACCCAAAUGCAUCCUGAAGAUGAAAAGAACAAAGAACACAAAGACCAUGGCUUGAAGAAUAACUUUUUUUUUCCUUAUUUCCUCUAUUU